CAGGUUGUCAUAUGUGAAUUGCGUUCAUGACAUCCUCUUUGAGUUAAAGAUCACAUGUUUGGUAGUCCUAUUUUGGAUAUCAAGUGGCAUGCGAGUUUAAAAUCCACUAUACCAAAAAUGAUCACGGCUGCUAAUUGAGUGGUUAGGAUUUGCGAUCCAGAGACGGGAGAUGGGAUGACUAGCAUUGAACCCUCAGCUGGAAAUAUCAAUGACGUUUGUGUAAUUAGAAACAGUGAAUCAAUGCUCAUGGCUCUAGAGUCAACUCAAAUUCUGUCCUAUUUUAUUCCUUAGGUCCAGUUCCAAAGUGGUGCUCUAAUUUGGAGAACUUGACAGAAGAGCUUGAGGAAGGGGCACAAACCACCAUUUGUGAUGAUUUCGAAUUUGUAACAAAAGAGGACAUUGAACACUAAAAUUUGACAGAUCUGAUUGGCACCAACCUUUUAAGAGCUUAUAUUCAUGGAUACUUUAUAGAUUAUCGUCUCUACCUUAAGGAAAAAUCUAUGGCCGAUCCAUUUGCAUAUGAAGCUUAUAGGAAGAUCAAGAAACACAUGCAAGAAAAGAUUGAGGCUGAGCGUACUAAUCGUAUAAUGGUGUAGGAGGGAGAUCAACUGACAUUGGGUCAAUUGGCCUCUUGACGCGGAGAUCCCUAGCUCUUCGAGGACACCUAUGAUGAGGCAUCGACUACUUAUUGGUAUAAGGGCACAAUUACCGCACUUGUAAGAGGACUUACAGGAGGAAGCCCAUGCCUAAGGGGGGAGGAUGUUAGAUCCCUCCUUUAGUUACAUUAUAGUUAUAUUAUUUGAGUGAGAUGGUGUAUUAUGUCUUGAUUCAUAGAUUAUUUCAUGGUUAUUGUUCUGAACCCUUUUAUAUCAUGGUUUAGACAUUAUGAGGAUAGGUCGUUACUUCUUAGUACUUUGCUCCUUACUUAUGUUGUUCAUGUGAUCUCAUGGUUUUACAUUAUCAAUUAUGGACAUGCAUAGUUCUUGUGACAUGAGUUUUUUGAGAUAUAGUUGUAACAUGAUAUGUUCUAACA